rfam:Schistosoma mansoni, Puerto Rico, WGS project CABG01000000 data, contig: 0171
GCACUGGUGAGGAGUCCCAUAAUAGGACGAAACGGCCGUCCAGUGC